GGGCGAUUGGCGCAGUUGGCUAGCGCGCCUGCAUGACACGCAGGAGGUCACAGGUUCGAGUCCUGUAUCGCCCA
rnacentral:tRNA from 2 species